rnacentral:rRNA from 1 species
GUAGGUGGCAAGCGUUGUCCGGAAUUAUUGGGGCGUAAAGCGCGCGCAGGCGGUUCUUUAAGUCUGAUGUGAAAGCCCACGGGCUCAACCGUGGAGGGUCAUUGGAAACUGGAGAACUUGAGUACAGAAGAGGAAAGCGGAAUUCCACGUGUAGCGGUGAAAUGCGCAGAGAUGUGGAGGAACACCAGUGGCGAAGGCGGCUUUCUGGUCUGUAACUGACGCUGAGGCGCGAAAGCGUGGGGAGCAAACAGGAUUAGAUACCCUGGUAGUCCACGCCGUAAACGAUGAGUGCUAAGUGUUAGGGGGUUUCCGCCCCUUAGUGCUGCAGCUAACGCAUUAAGCACUCCGCCUGGGGAGUACGGCCGCAAAGGCUG